rnacentral:rRNA from 1 species
GGAUAACAUACCGAAAGGUAUGCUAAUACGGGAUAAUAUAUUUGAGAGGCAUCUCUUAAAUAUCAAAGGUGAGCCAGUACAGGAUGGACCCGCGUCUGAUUAGCUAGUCGGUAAGGUAACGGCUUACCAAGGCGACGAUCAGUAGCCGACCUGAGAGGGUGAUCGGCCACAUUGGAACUGAGACACGGUCCAAACUCCUACGGGAGGCAGCAGUGGGGAAUAUUGCACAAUGGGCGAAAGCCUGAUGCAGCAACGCCGCGUGAGUGAUGAAGGCCUUCGGGUCGUAAAACUCUGUCCUCAAGGAAGAUAAUGACGGUACUUGAGGAGGAAGCCCCGGCUAACUACGUGCCAGCAGCCGCGGUAAUACGUAGGGGGCUAGCGUUAUCCGGAUUUACUGGGCGUAAAGGGUGCGUAGGCGGUCUUUCAAGUCAGGAGUGAAAGGCUACGGCUCAACCGUAGUAAGCUCUUGAAACUGGGAGACUUGAGUGCAGGAGAGGAGAGUGGAAUUCCUAGUGUAGCGGUGAAAUGCGUAGAUAUUAGGAGGAACACCAGUUGCGAAGGCGGCUCUCUGGACUGUAACUGACGCUGAGGCACGAAAGCGUGGGGAGCAAACAGGAUUAGAUACCCUGGUAGUCCACGCUGUAAACGAUGAGUACUAGGUGUCGGGGGUUACCCCCUUCGGUGCCGCAG